UUAGAGUUUGAUCAUGGCUCAGAUUGAACGCUGGCGGCAUGCCUAACACAUGCAAGUCGAACGGCAGCAUGAGGUGUAGCAAUACACCUUGAUGGCGAGUGGCGGACGGGUGAGGAAUGCAUCGGAAUCUGCCCAGUCGUGGGGGAUAACGUAGGGAAACUUACGCUAAUACCGCAUACGACCGUAAGGUGAAAGCGGGGGAUCGUAAGACCUCGCGCGAUUGGAUGAGCCGAUGCCGGAUUAGCUUGUUGGUGGGGUAAAGGCUCACCAAGCCUGCGAUCUGUAGCUGGUCUGAGAGGACGACCAGCCACACUGGGACUGAGACACGGCCCAGACUCCUACGGGAGGCAGCAGUGGGGAAUUUUGGACAAUGGGCGCAAGCCUGAUCCAGCCAUUCCGCGUGCAGGAUGAAGGCCCUCGGGUUGUAAACUGCUUUUGUACGGAACGAAACGGCGCUUUCUAAUACAGAGCGCUAAUGACGGUACCGUAAGAAUAAGCACCGGCUAACUACGUGGUCGGGCCCA
rnacentral:rRNA from 1 species